UACUGUACUUUAAGGUACAAUCCACAGGGGUGAUAUAAAUUGCUACAUUGAUUAACUAUGUUUCCCUGGACGUUCAUAGAAUCUCAUCAGUGGACACACCAAGCAUUGAGGUUAUGCUAUGUUUUGUGCUGUUCAGCUUUUUGUUUUUACUGAAAUCUGGCAAUCCUUUGUGUCUGUCAGAGGAGAAGCCACUGGGAUGCACCAUCUAUCAUGGUAUAUACGGCACCUGUAAGUACGUGUGUGAUCCGGACGAGGAAAAAAUGUACGGAAUGGGAGCGUGCCAGGGGCGCAUCUGCUGUUACCAUGGCUACCCAUCAAAAUGAAUCAAGGCUGAGCAUACCAACUAUUAAACAGCUGCCCUACAUCAAGUGGAAAACUUAAAUUAGAGAUUAGUUCGUUAACUCUUAGAUUAAACGGUAACAUGCUGUGAAUGGGAAGAAAUAAAAUAGAAAGACUACGAUGGGAAAUA